GAUUGUGUGAGUUUCCAUACUAAACGAGCUGUAGUGAUAAAAUAAUUGGCAUCAGAGACACUGAUUUUUGGCAUGGUAUACUGCAGAAGUUUUUUUUUUUUUUUGCAUAAUUUACCUUUUAAUUAAACUGCAUUCUCUGUAUUGUAACAAAACUAACAUUGUUUAUAUGUCAGAAAAUUAGCAAACAUGAAUAAAUGGCAAGAUCAAUAUAAUUAUAACAUAUAUUUUUAUUUUACUUAUUUUAGGUCUGUGAAGCCAAACUUGAUGCUGGGGAUUUAUUUUUGUCAGUGGAGUCAAAUGGUCUAGAUGAUCACAUCUGUCUUUGUCAUUUAAAUGAGGUGGACUUGCAAACUUUGCGCUCUUUGGGGUUGAAGCAGAAUUUGCCCGUCUUACAUCUGUUGACCUGAAAGGGUUCCUUUUUGCUGUGCUUGACCAUUAUGGAGAGGUUCGUGGAGCUGUACAAAAUCAAGAGCGGCAUAGGAGGGCUAACUAGGCUCAUAAAAUGCUUCGAUGAUGAUAGCCCUACACAAAGGAAGAGGACAGAGGACCUCAUUUUCUAAAGGAAGAUCCCUCACACACUUUCAAGACUGUGAAGCCGACAGGUAUUGAAGACACGUUUUCUAAGAGGAUGAAAGUUGGCAUUGUGAUGGUGAAAGAAGAAGACAUCAUCGAUGUGUUGGUUGUCCUUGAGGCGGCAGUAAUCCUGUCUAAUCUGAGGGAUGUCUCAAGUGCCAUUUCCAUGCUGAUGGGCCUUCUUUUUGCCCUCAACAUAGACUAUCCAAAGGAACUUAAGGACAUCUUUGAAGUCAUUCAGAACAUCCUAAUGAACAUUGGUGGAAGUCAGUGCAUCUCACUAGUGCAUGGUCUAAGAAACAGACUCUUGCAGAAAGC